rnacentral:rRNA from 1 species
CCUACGGGAGGCAGCAGUGAGGAAUAUUGGUCAAUGGGCGAGAGCCUGAACCAGCCCAGUCGCGUGAAGGAUGACGGCCCUACGGGUUGUAAACUUCUUUUGUCAGGGAGCAAUUGAGUCCCCGUGUGGGCUUAGCGAGAGUACCUGCAGAAAAAGCAUCGGCUAACUCCGUGCCAGCAGCCGCGGUACUACGGAGGAUGCGAGCGUUAUUCGGAUUUAUUGGGUUUAAUGGGUGCGUAGGCGGAAUAUCAAGUCAGCGGUAAAAAUUCGGGGCUCAACCCCGUCGUGCCGUUGAAACUGAUGUUCUUGAGUGGGUGAGAAGGAAGCGGAAUGCGUGGGGUAGCGGUGAAAUGCAUAGAUAUCACGAAGAACACCGAUGGCGAAGGCAGCAUACCGGCGCCCAACUGACGCUGAAGCACGAAAGCGUGGGUAGCGAACAGGAUUAGAUACCCUGGUAGUC